rnacentral:rRNA from 1 species
AUACGUAGGGUGCAAGCGUUGUUCGGAAUUACUGGGCGUAAAGGGCGUGUAGGCGGCCUAUUAAGCCAAGGGUGAAAUCCCAGAGCUCAACUCUGGAACUGCUUUUGGAACUAAUAGGCUUGAGUAUGUGAGAGGUUAGCGGAAUUCCUGGUGUAGAGGUGAAAUUCGUAGAUAUCAGGAGGAACACCGGUGGCGAAGGCGGCUAACUGGCACAUAACUGACGCUGAGGCGCGAAGGCGUGGGUAGCAAACAGGAUUAGAAACCCCAGUAGUCC